GGGGCGGAGCCUCGGGGCGGCAGCCCGCUGGGGCGCCAGGAGGUGAGCUCCGGCGGAGCUGACACGGGGUCUCCAGCAGUUGGAAGGGACACGAAGCUCCUCGGUCAUGUUUGAGCAAUUGACCUGCAGCCCGGCCUGGCCUAAGUGGACAGGACAUGUCACAUUUCUCGGCAAACUAUCUGUUAUCUGCAGGAAAAAUGUAGGCCUGGAAUAACGUUGCUAUGAGGACCCAAGUUACACUGAAGGGAGACACUUUUGUGACCUUUUCCACAAACCAGAUUCUGAAACUCAAGUAGAUAAGGAUAAUUCUUCUUAACCAUAAAAUCUAGUCUCCAAGUUGCCAGUCUGUCUUCGAACUUGUGAUCCUCCUGCCUCAGCCUCCCAAAUCUGGAAUUACAGGUGGGGGCCACUGCACCCAGGCAGAAGUGUCCUCUUAAUGUUCCAUCAGCUGCCCCUGCUUUGCUCCUUGGCUAUAAAUUCCAUGCUGUGCUGUGCCGUGGUGAGCCUGAUCUCUCUCCUCCUCUACUAGACCCUGUUGUCCUGGUCCUUGUACCUGUCAGUUAUCCUGAAUAAAGUCUUUCUCAUGCUUAA